GUGCCAGCCGCCGCGGUAAUACGGAGGGUGCGAGCGUUGUCCGGAAUCACUGGGCGUAAAGGGCGCGUAGGCGGUUCAGUAAGUUGCUGGUGAAAUCCCGGGGCUCAACUCCGGGGCUGCCGGCAAGACUGCUGGCCUUGAGCACGGUAGGGGCAGAUGGAAUUCCCGGUGUAGCGGUGGAAUGCGUAGAGAUCGGGAAGAAUACCAGUGGCGAAGGCGUUCUGCUGGGCCGUUGCUGACGCUGAGGCGCGACAGCGUGGGGAGCAAACAGGAUUAGAUACCCCAGUAGUCC
rnacentral:rRNA from 1 species